rnacentral:ncRNA from 1 species
UUGAACGUAUAAGUGUGAAAUAGUAAGGAGACUAAAGUUUAAGAGAGUCAGUGUAUGGUGUGAACUGAUACUUUAUAACCUGAAUCCAUCGCAUGAGUAGACAGUGAGACGACUAUCGUUUAAAUUGUCUCGGUAGAGCCCGUUAAAACUCAUAGAGAGCAGGAAGAUUUGAAAUUUUCCUGAAUCAGGGUGGUACCGCGAAAAGCAGUCUUUCGUCCCUUCA